rnacentral:lncRNA from 1 species
GCAACAGCCAGCGCGGCUCCUGGAGGGAAACGAGCAAGGCGGCCCCGCAGGUGUGGCGCGGCCCUGGGAGGGCGCGUGCGAGCGCUGCUUUGUUUGGUGCCCGCACAGCCCCGGGCUCCAGGCCUGAGCGCCAACCUUCCCGAGCUGAGUCACGGCUGCAGAGCCCGAGGGCGGCCAUACGGCCCCGCCCGGAAGGAUGAGGCCCCUUCCUGAAGCUGGCGAGUCCGAUGCGGUGGCAGGGACAAAAGCCAGGGGAAGGUGGCUUCUAUUCUACAAAGCCCUUUAGGGAAGGGGGGAGUCAGGCCGCCCUCACCCAGUGCAGGUCCGUCACGAUGGUCACCCAGAGCACUCACGCAGAAAGCCAGCUUGCAGCCGCCAGCCCUGAGGAUGCCGCCCCCAAAGGGCUCAUUGCUCUAAUCACCCGUCCAGGGGCUUGAGGCAAAGCUCCAAGACAGACCUGUAGCAGCAUGGCCCAAAAAGUUCCUCUGCUGCCCCAGUCCCAUACCUGCCUGAGGUACGGGGGUUCAGGCUGAGUCGGCUGACCUGGAGUCAUCUGGAAGCCUUGUCAGAAAUGCAGAUUCUGCAGUGCUGUUCCCAGAGGAUGAGAUUCAGCAGAACUGGGUGUUGGAUAUUAUAUGAAGAGAUUUGCAAGUGUUAUUUUACGUAAUUCGCACUUUACAAAGGAGGAAACUGCAGCGCAGGUACCAAGGUUGCCCCAUCUCGGUCCAGGCCUGCUCCCGGCGAGCCACUCGCCCUUGACCACGCCUCCUCUCUCCUGAUUGGCUGUCAGGCAUGAGUCAUUAAGCUCACUAAGACAAUAAUCAAAGACCUAUAAAACCGUGAACUUCUUGAGACAAUGAGGAUGCCUCUAACAGACUUGGGAAGAAAUCCUGCACAAAGAGCUGGGGAAAAAAGGGAAGAAAAGCACAUAGAAU